UACGUAGGGUGCAAGCGUUAAUCGGAAUUACUGGGCGUAAAGCGUGCGCAGGCGGUUAUGCAAGACAGAUGUGAAAUCCCCGGGCUCAACCUGGGAACUGCAUUUGUGACUGCAUAGCUAGAGUGCGGCAGAGGGAGAUGGAAUUCCGCGUGUAGCAGUGAAAUGCGUAGAUAUGCGGAGGAACACCGAUGGCGAAGGCAAUCGUCCUGGGCCUGCACUGACGCUCAUGCACGAAAGCGUGGGGGAGCAAACAGG
rnacentral:rRNA from 1 species